UCAUGAGUUCUACAUCAUUAUGAGUAAACAUUAAUGAACAUGUCUUGUUUCAAUUGGGUUGCAGAUAUUUAAAUUGUUUGGUUUCUUCUAAAAUCGUUUUAAAUUCUCUUAUAUCAACUUUCACCAAUUUAGACUAAUUCCUAUUGUUUAUCUGCUCGUUUGGGAAGGGGGAGAGACAAAUGAUAAAUAGACAUAGAGAUUUACUUUCACCUUUUGACAUGCGUCCCAUUCCCUUGAUCACUAAAGCCACUUUUGUGCUUUAAUUCACGACUCAUGCUUCGAUUCAACAUU
rnacentral:lncRNA from 1 species